CCCAGCCCCUUAUUUUACUCUCAGGAGCUGGGGCAUGGGGGUGCUUGGGAGGGAGAGGGGAGGCAGCCAGGGCCAGGUCUUUGGGGGUCAGCUGUCAGCCAGGGCUUUUCCAGCUGGGAGUUUGUCUGGGGGACACUGUCUCCUCAGGAGGGUCCCAGCUCUCGGAGGUCUCAGAAAGGGGCUUCACAGGAGGAAAUCCAGCAGCGUCGGUCACUCUCAAUCCAGGGCCAUGAAGAGCUGGCCAAAGACCCUGAAAGACAAAAGGCCCAACGUGAGCCAGGGAGUGAGGAGGAAGCCCCCGGGUAGGGCUCCUGCAGGUGCGGGGACACCCAGGAAGGGUGUGGGCUUCAGCCGCUGCACAGAUGGACGUCCUGAGCACCAGAGUGAAGGUAGAACCUUGCCCAGCACCCCCCGCCUUGUGUGCUGGACCAGACUCUGCUUGGGCCCAGUCCCUUCCUCUAGCAAAGGGUCACAGUCCAUCCCAUGAUUCACUGGGGAGGGGAGGGAUGGGAUGAAGGGCGGAGAAGGGGUGGAGGGUUGGGGAUCAUCACUGUCGAGGGCACCCCCCCUUAAGCUUCCUCCUGCCUCCCCCUCUCUCACCCCCAUCAGUCCAGGCCUGCUGUGAGGUAGUGACCAGCUCUUAACCUGGGAUUUACACUUUAAUCACCCUUCCUUCCUCUCAUUAAGUGGCCAAAUUGCCAUCUGGGCCACAAAGAAGCAAGCUUUGUGAUGUCAGUAUUAGGAGGGAGCCCUGGCCCGGGGCUGCUGGCUUUGGUCUUGCUUUGGAAGCCCUUUGAAUCCUGGGAGCUGAUCCCAGCAGGGUCUGUUUGCAGGCUGUGCUCCUCCCUGCCGACUUGCUACUGCCCUGAAGAGAUCCCAUCCUCUGCCUUCUAAUUUCCCUCUAUAUGAAGCAGGAGAUCUGAACCCUGGCUCCCCUCCCUGUGCCACAUUUCCAGGUCCAGCCUGCAGUCGGGACUAUCAGCGGCUCACAUUUAAAUGCACUUGUCUCCAGCGUCACCAGAUUUUGCAUAGGAGCCUUAAGUUCCUCAGUCAGAGAGAAAGGGUCCCUGCGCUUGAGCUCUCCAGUCUGCAUGAAUCAUACCCGAGAUUCUAGUUUCCUUUGGCCAACUGGGGUAGCCAGCGCCAUGUCUGCUGCCAGAAACUCAGACGAAGAGCUCAAGGUCGAGAUGAGACAGAAUCCUAGCCAAGCAAUGCUUGGGAUGUAAGGUGUGGUCAGGGGCUGGGCACAGGGGGGCAAGGAAAAAGAAUAAGCCGUUCUCAGAUGCCAAUGGCAUCAUUAGCGUUCCAGCCCCCUGCCCCAGGGAGUCCAGGUAGCCUCAUGAUGGAGUGCAUCCCUGUGGGCUUACUCAUAAUCUUGCAAAAUACUGUAAUGGCCUGUCUACAGAAUUACAUGUGAAAUAACAAAAGCAAAUAAGUUACUUUCCCCUCUCAGUCUCAUUUACUCUUUCCCUUCUUUGCAAAUAUGGGAGAUAUGCC